UACGAAGGGGGCUAGCGUUGCUCGGAAUGACUGGGCGUAAAGGGCGCGUAGGCGGCUUGCACAGUCAGGCGUGAAAUUCCUGGGCUCAACCUGGGGACUGCGCUUGAGACGUGUGGGCUUGAGUGGGGAAGAGGGUCGUGGAAUUCCCAGUGUAGAGGUGAAAUUCGUAGAUAUUCGCAGGAACACCAGUGGCGAAGGCGGCUUACUGGUCCAUUACUGACGCUGAGGUGCGAAAGCGUGGGGAGCAAACAGG
rnacentral:rRNA from 1 species